rnacentral:rRNA from 1 species
CGAACGCUGGCGGCGUGCUUAACACAUGCACGUCGAACGGAAAGGCCCCUUUGGGGGUACUCGAGUGGCGAACGGGUGAGUAACACGUGAGUAACCUGCCCUUGACUUCGGGAUAACUUCAGGAAACUGGGGCUAAUACCGGAUAGGAAUCCUUGCUGCAUGGUGGGGGUUGGAAAGCUUCGGCGGUUUUGGAUGGACUCGCGGCUUAUCAGCUUGUUGGUGGGGGAGUGGCUUACCAAGGCUUUGACGGGUAGCCGGCCUGAGAGGGCGACCGGCCACAUUGGGACUGAGAUACGGCCCAGACUCCUACGGGAGGCAGCAGUGGGGAAUAUUGCACAAUGGGCGGAAGCCUGAUGCAGCAACGCCGCGUGCGGGAUGACGGCCUUCGGGUUGUAAACCGCUUUCAGCAGGGGCGAAGCUUGUGGUGACGGUACCUGCAGAAGAAGCACCGGCUAACUACGUG